ensembl:lncRNA
GCCGCCUCUGUGCGCCCGCGGGGCCGCCUCGGUGCCCGUUUACUGCGCGCGGCAGCCACUCUGGAGCCGGCGCACAUCUGGAUGGAGUCAGGCCCAGCGCCCGGGCCGGCGCCCAGCCAGUCCCCACCCGCUGGAUUUCCUGAUGUAAACAGAGCAAGAACACAGCAACUCUGCUGAAUGUGUCACGCGGCGCUCUUUAUCUGCUUGGGGUCAAGACGGCGACUUAGAAAAACAGAAGCGUUGCUUUGAAUUUAAACAGCUAAGAGCCAGAGCCGAGACUGGUCUGCAGGGGGGAGGGCGAAGGCCUCCAGACCCACCUCCCGCUUUUGUGCCUACUUGUUCCACUUGAUGGUAAUUUGGGGGCUAAUUUCAUUAUCUACAGCCGAAUUGGAAACAAGAUGCUGUUUCUGCUAAUGGUGCUGAAGGCCUGUAUGACUUUCUGUGCAGUGGGUAGAACCUUCCACCCCGCCGCCCCCAGCCGCCCCCGCCGCUCUCAAAGCGCGUUGUGACGCUGAUUCUCGCAGCCGGAAGCCUCCUGCCCUGUUUCUGAGAGGGCCGCAUCGCUCUCUGUCACGGAGCGCCGGCCAGGAGCGCCUUUCCUUCCUGGGUUCCCAGAAGGGCCCAGGCCAGGGCUGGGGGGUAGACUUCCGACCCCGCUCGGCGGGUGGACGUGCUUCCUUGGCCGGUUCUGGCCCCGUGGUCUGCGCCCGGGUGCCUGGCUGUCCCUCGUCUUUGCCUGGAGCUGGUGGUUCCUUCUCUCCUCUGGCAGGGAAUAAGGGCUUAAGGAUUUGGGGUUCUGAAUAUUCAUUAGCUAGAAACCAGCCAGCUAUAAACCAUGACAAAGUCAUUUUGAAAAGAUGGUAAAGAAGGAAAAUAGAAAAUGAUGGCGGAGCUUGUGUUGUCUUCACCAACAAGUAACACGAAGUGUAGGCGGUUUCCACCUCAGUCCCAAACUGUUUCACCGCCGGGUCUGGAGAUCUGGCCGGGGGCGUUGUCCUGGCCAGGGUUCCCUGGCCCCGAAGCCGGGACUUUUUUUUUUUUUUAAGUCCUUAAGUGGAACUGAGAAGGAGCUGCGCUUGUCUCAGGGCAGGCUUGGCGGUGGGGAUGGGGCAGGCUGACUAGGGCCGGUAGCGUUUCCGCGGAGCAGCUUCCGGGGGAAUUUUGUCUAAACGUUUGAGGUCAAUGGGCCCAGGCGGUGGCUGGACGUCAGGGCGCUGGAAUGUUGAGGAGCCUCGGAUGCAUCACAGUGCUUUGAAUAGGCUACCAGGGCACUGUUUCCUCCCACAGACUGUAUCUUGAUGAAUUUGCCAGAAAUUGGGCCAAGACUCACAGAGAAGACCGAGGUCCAAUUUGGCGAGUUGGCUGUUAGUGGCUCUGCUUGGUGGUUUGGUUAAGAAGAUGGAGCCAAAACCCAGAGUGAGAAUGAGGUUCCUUUAGAGCCGCCAAAGGCAGACGUAAGGUUCAAGGUUCGUCUGAUUCGCCCCACCCUGUGCUCUCUUUACCUGUUGAAACGUUGAUGGCAGGAUUCUGCAGUGGCUUCCUGUGAUGGAGGGGUCCGGCCUUUCAGAGGUCUGGCUGCGAGUGCGGGACUUCUCAGUUUAUUCAUAAAACAGUUGCUUGUCCCUUUUCACACAUUAGAUUUUUACCGAAGUUUCAGGGGACAGGCAGGAGGUUCCAGAGAGAAGAGACCAGCGUGGCCCCUCUCUUGCUUACUUAUUCCAGCCUCAGUUUGCUCAUCUCUAACGGAUAAGGAAAUCUCCUUCUCCAGGUUAGCGGGUGUUAUGCCAGCGAUGUAUGAAUGACCCAGUUUCUCCACAUCCUGGCCAACCGUUGAGUGUUCUCGCAUGAUUUGUUUCCUUAGGAAUUCCUUCUAUAGUACUUGGAGCUUUGUGGAUAAAGCACCAGUCAGAGCCGCCCUGUGGAAAUGGAGCAAAGAGUUGAAAUGUGAUUCCCAACCUGGAGUGGAUGCUCUUUUCACGCUCAGCUGGGUCUCUAACUCCUGAAAUAUUAAUCUGACAUAGGACAAGUACCAUCCAGGGAUGUGAAAAAUCCAGCCUGAGGCCCCAAACAGAGUGGGGCCUGCUCUCUGGGCAGAUCCAGAGCUCCUGAAGAUGAAAACCUCGUAAGCCAACUGUGGACUCGGUGCUUUGCUGCAAGAGGAUUCAUUUGAGCUAUAAUAAAAAGUAGUGUGUUUAUUUAACCCCUGUAAGCUGAUCUCCUUGGUCUUCAUGAACUGGCUGGGCAGCUAAGGACCCACAUUCCUUCCACAGUUAAUAAAACUUCAUAUUUUUCUCUGUAUUCAUAAAUUUAAUUGCACUCAGACCCACUUAAUCUACAUUAGUUUUUGAAACUUUACCUAGAUUAAAAAAACACAAGCACUUCUAUCCCUCCCCCCGACCCUCCCUGCAACAUGCAGCAUAAUCAUCAUCUUUAAGUUAG